UUCCAAUCAUCUAUCUCUUCCAUUAACAAGUUCAUUCUAAGCUUGAAGUUCAUCCAUGGAAGGUGCAACUUGAAGGACUUUCUAAGGAGCUUGUUCUAGUCUUUUUCACCAUCAUAUUCUCAAUAGAUUCUACCCUAGCUAUAAGCUAGUAGAUUUAACCAAGAAGAUGAAACAUGAUGUACUUGUGUCGUUAAAUGCUUGGAGCUUGCAUAUGGAGGUGGUCGUUGUGGGAUGCGAACUGAUAUGUCCCGUAUUUAAUAAAUAA
rnacentral:lncRNA from 1 species